rnacentral:lncRNA from 13 species
UGUAGAUCUAAAUAAUAGAAUGGUCCCUUUGCACAUAGGUUUAGAAGCUUUCAAUAUGUUUCCAUAAUAAAUUACUUUACUUAAUUGACGCCUUCUGUCAUUCUGGUGACAUUUUGCCUGCUGAUCAUAUAACUAGUUUUGAUUGUUGAUGAUCUAUCACUGAAUCAUAAGGCAGGCAUUCCAAAACACUGUGCCAUGUUUAAGUCAUUUUUAUAUAAACUUAAAACAUAUUCAUUUUUUUCUACAAACUUUAGGAGCAUACCAUGCUAAUUCAGAGAAACAGAGAAUGGAACAAAACCAAUUUCACUUCCCUAACAGAAAUUUUAACAAGUGUGAGUCUCCUGCAUGCAAAGUAGCACACUCGGCCUUCCCCCGUUCCUUGGGCGUUUAUUCAGUAGUUCCUUUGCAGAAUCAGAGCUAGAGCAUAACUCUGCAUUUGGAACACAAGCAUCCUGUGACCUCAGCAACUUUCUUCUCCCUGCAGACAGUUUCUGCAGGCAACGAGGAUGCAGCAUUUUGCCCCAGGAUUUCCUGAAGACUAGUGAAAUCAAGUCUACAAAGUCUCCUCUGCUCCUUGGGGAACUAGGGGAUGAGGGGAAGAGAAGAGAAAAGAUAUCAUUCAAUUGAAUGAUCAGGCCUGUCCACACUGGGGCAACAUGAAUCCAGCCUGUUACAUUUGAGAUUUUGGUUCACUUAUUUACAAAAGGGCCCAGAGCCUCCCCCUUCUUUCCCUGCAUUAGGAAAGAGUUUGGAAGUGGCUGACAGCAGUGUCUUCCUUCUGGCAGCCCUUAUAUUUUCUCUCUACGCAAAACUCAAAAGAAAUCCUCUGUCAGAAGAAAAAAGUGGAGGUGGGAUAAUGUGACCAACAGCUAAGCUCCAGUCCUUGACACAGGCUUAGGUGAUGAUCCCAGCUGAGACAAGGAUUGGUGAGUUACCUUAGAGAAGAAGCCUCUUCUAAAUGCUCAGACUCGCUGUGGGCUGGAAGGAUUUGACUUUGAAUGCUUCUGAAAUUCUCCCCUCCUUGUUCUUGAUUAACCAUUGAGAUGACAAUGUAGAUUUGAGGGAGAGGUGGCUCUGAUUCUGCUUAAACCAGAGAAAACUGAAAGUGAUAUUGACAUUCUCAUAUAUCAAUCAAUUAAUUGAUUCAUUCACUGAGUCACUGAUUCAUUCAUUUAUGCAUCAGGCAUUGUUCCAAGCAGUUGAGGUGCAGAGACGAAAUAGCAAAACAGGACAGUGGAUUCUUACUUGGGGUUUAGCAGUCUGUGGACCCUCUGGUAGGCUAAGUGAAAGCCAUGUGUGUACUUUUUCAGAGAAAAGAUGUAUUGCUCUGGCCAGAUUCUCAGGAGUUUAGAAGCUGCUAGCUCUUGGGAAAUAAAGGCUCUUGGGAUAAAAUAUGGAAUCUAUUA